rnacentral:rRNA from 1 species
GUUAUCACGGGAGACACACGGCGGGUGCUAACGUCCGUCGUGAAGAGGGAAACAACCCAGACCGCCAGCUAAGGUCCCAAAGUCAUGGUUAAGUGGGAAACGAUGUGGGAAGGCCCAGACAGCCAGGAUGUUGGCUUAGAAGCAGCCAUCAUUUAAAGAAAGCGUAAUAGCUCACUGGUCGAGUCGGCCUGCGCGGAAGAUGUAACGGGGCUAAACCAUGCACCGAAGCUGCGGCAGCGAACGUAUCACUUAAAGCGAUUCAGCGGRUKACGAUUGACGGAGCGAAGCGACGUCAAAGCGUAUACAAAGUCGAGUCGGUUUAAGGAUACGUUCGUUGGGUAGGGGAGCGUUCUGUAAGCCUGYGAAGGUGKSYYGUGAGGSWUGCUGGAGGUAUCAGAAGUGCGAAUGCUGACAUAAGUAACGAUAAAGCGGGUGAAAAGCCCGCUCGCCGGAAGACCAAGGGUUCCUGUCCAACGUUAAUCGGGGCAGGGUGAGUCGACCCCUAAGGCGAGGCCGAAAGGCGUAGUCGAUGGGAAACGGGUUAAUAUU